UUUGACAUUUAAAUAAACAUCAUCAUUCAUCAACAAGCUAUCAUCACAUAAACAUCAACACAACCUUCAUGCAAUUAAUAUAUAACAACUACAUUAAGCAUGCCUCAACUCAUAAAACAAACACCGGAAUCGGAGUCUACACGAAAAACUGAGUAAAAUAGGUUCCGGGGUCGAAAACCCUCAAAAGUCAACCAAAAGUCAACAUUUUCAAUCCUGUGAACAGUGCCUGCGCUGGGGCGCCGGCCUUUGUCACAAAACAGAGUCAAAAUGGCAUUUCUAGACUUCUCUGGGCGCCUGGGCACCACUCCUUUAAAACGGUGCGCCACAGACAAAUUGUGCAGGAUUUCUGCAGGACAGCCUCUCAUUGCAACGAUCAUAACUUGGGCUACGAAAGUCCAAUGGAGACGCACAUAUACUCGUUGGAAAGCUAACAAACAGGGCUACAACUUUUAUGUUGUCCACUAAAACCAGUUCACAACGUAAAGAGGUCAAAAUUGCACGUAAAGGUUCAGACCUCAUAGAUAACAAUUUUCUACAUUU
rnacentral:lncRNA from 1 species